rnacentral:lncRNA from 1 species
AUUAAAGUGAAACACCAAGUAGCUUUGUUGGUUUAGUGUACAAGACUACUGUAUACUAUUAUGGUCUUGUUUUGUUUAUCUGGCCAACAUGAAUUUAUACUUGGAGGCUGGUAAAUAAAACCAAAUGCUGCAUUUCAAAGCUCCCUGUUAAGGUCAUGGGUGACAUCUGACUAAAUUCAGAAAGCAAAAUCAGGACAUCCUGCUCUGUGCUUACUUGAACAUCUUGUGAGGAGUUUGCUGCAGCUGUUUUCAGAUCUAUGCCUUGCUUUUUAGCAAUGUUAAGGGUUUCAACAUUUUUUUACGUGAUGUUUAAAGUUCUGAGGCUCUUGUUCUAUACAGUCAGCAGCUAUACUAAUUACCAUAGUUCUUGAACAUGCUAGAGGUAUAUCAGUACAAUUAAUAUCAGUCAUGUACAUUUAAUCUUGGGGAAAAGUGAAAGAAAGAAAAGUUAUACUGAAAACAACUGGCAUUUCUGCAACAUAAAAUAGUGCCUCUGCUUUCAUAAGCGGCAUGCCAGAGUGAGCUAGCCUAGCCAGUGGCUGGGUUGGGCUGGAAGAAUUCUGGGCACUUGUAUUUUUGACUCAAUUUGACCUAAUCCUUAAGAGAUGUUUCAAAAUAUACAGGUAAAUGGUGAUACAUCAGUAAACAGAGCCAAUAUCUCUUCUCUUUCUGGAUGAAACAACUUCUAGAGUAACUUACUUGCUGGACAGUAUGAUUUCAAGUGAUUCCUGCCUUUCAAGUUUGAUAAGUACUUAAAGUGACAGAAAACUAGAUGAGAGUUUAGAGAUGUUAAAGUUUAAAAAAGGGAGCAAGAUUGGAAGAAGUGGUAAGAUACCAAUUUUUCUAACACAACUAUCUCAAAGGAACAAGAAUUUGAUCAUACAAGCCUCUGGUGUAGUCAGAAAUACCAUCUUUUUUCCAAACAGGUCUCCUUUGGGAUGCCAGUCCCUGGAGUGUGGCAAGCCAACAGAAAAGACAAAAGAGUCAGAUCUUGUUGCACCUGUCCAAAUUUCCACUGACCCCUGCAUCCCAUUCAUGCUGAUUACUGUGCUGUCUCUGGCACUCCUUAGACCCAUCUAAUGCCUGGCUUCAUUUAGGUAAUUGUCUUCAUUAAUGCCAGUAAGAUUUAAUGUGAGUAGAUUUAUUUACAUGGUUUAGAUUGUAAAGUUCAGUACUGACAAAUAGAGUAAAAAAGGAAAAGAAAGAUUCAUAUAGGGGGUGGGGGAAGGGGAAAUCAUAGAGUCAUAGAAUCAUAAAGGUUGGAAGAGACUAUCAAGGUCACCUACUCCAACUAAUAGAGCAGAGAGGGAGAAAAAACCCACAAAUUUAAGUCAUGAGUAUGACUCUAACUUAGAAGCGAGGACAUGGACACAAAAACAGUUCACUUUCAGUCUGUUCCAGUUUUAGGUUAAAUAUUGAUUAGGUUAGCAUUAGAACUUGGGUCUUACAUUUCUUUAGCAAUGUUUGCUUAAGAAAAAUUAUUAACUCAAAGUAAACUGUAAACAAGAAUGACUAAAAAGCCUUAACCCAUCCUGACUGGCUGACAGCCUGCUGCCUAACAUUAUGAGAGGUGUAGAUUUAAAGUUAGAUUUCAGGCCAAUAUUUGACAGGAGGUCUGCAGCAGUUUCAAAUUUCUGCGUCCCAGCUGAACACUCCGUCUAGUUUCAUGUUUCUGCUGAGAUGAGACCCAAGAGUCUGCCUAUGUGCUGCUUCAUGAGGAACCCCAGGAGACUGCAAUAGGUCCUUAAUCAAGAAACCAUGAUCCCACAGCAUCCAUCAGCAAGUUGGCUGUAAUGCAACCUGAAUAGCUCUAUUAACCUUCUCUAUAAACAAAAGUAAUAGUGGCUCACCUUGCAGAUAAAUAUGUUGAUUGUGGUUUGCUUGGAUAUUAUGGCAAUUAGAUUAGUAUUUUAAACAGACAGUGCAGAAGGACAGAUGGAAGUAAAGCCAGUGCAGG